rnacentral:lncRNA from 1 species
GAAGAGCCUGAGUCUGGGGCCCACAGCAGGCCAGGCACAACUCUGCCACUCCCCAGGGAAGGAGGCCAGUUUUGAAAGCUCCUCCCCAGAUGCUGAGACCACAUUUCCCGUGCAGGAGGAGGUGGAUGGGGAGAGUUUGCAUCUGGGAGUAUAAUUCAGGUAGAGUUGGGUUUUUUUCAAAGUACAUAAAAAUCCUUAAAUAUUGCUUUGUGCUGUAUAUUUUUCCUAAGUAUGACGUCAUGUCGAAGGAGCCCCUGAAGCCUGUUCCCUUCUUCAUUUGUGAGACCAGCUCCCACUUUCUGUGUCCCGUGCACGCUGCAGCCUCUUCUGGAAACUUAACAUUGGGCUAGAUCAGUGCUCCCUCUCCAGCAUUGGUGGAGGGGUGUGGAGGGGAUCUGAGCAGCAGCUCUGAAGGACAAGGUGUCUCCUGUAGCCAGGUGAUGGUGGCCCAAGGCUCCGGGGCUUCCCUUGCCCUCCCUGCCUCUCUCCUACAACCAUUCCUGCCUCACAGUUUUGCAAUCAUGGUGCCUGUGUGUGGGAGGGCAGGGAAGGUGGGUCUUUCCCUGAAGCAAUGUAGGCAAAGGCCUUGAUGGAUGUAAAGUGAGGGUCUGGGAAGCUAGGAGAAGAGUGUGAACUUACAGGAGUGCAUGCGCCCCCAGCACCACUCUGAGAAAAAAAAAGAAAUGCCAGCUCACUGCACCAGACGGAAGACAUCUUUUGAGGAUGAAGACAGCCACUAGACAAUGAAGCAACAGGAGACUUAAUCUUAAGAGUUCUAGCAGCCAAGGGGGUGUCAGGCAGGCCCCAGGCCACAUGGAAUGCUUUGCCCCUCUCCCUGAGUUUAGGGCGGGGAUGAUGAGGUGAAACACCCCUGACGCCCAGGGGCAAUUGCAACCUGCCUGUGGCAAUGAGGUUCUGAGAAGGGACCAUCAUUCAAAUCAAUGGGCUUCCACCUGGGUGCAGAGGAGAUCAGGCCGCCUGGGAGAGAGUAAGCAGGAGAGGGAGCCAGCAGGAAGCAGGAAGCAGGAUGAGGAAGAAGAGAGGGCACAAAGGAAGGGGUAGCUCAACUUCCAUUUGCCUUGGCUUUAGAAGAGUGUCCAAACGGGCCUCCAUAGUGCAUGAUGAGAUGGCUGGGGCCAAAGUCCCAGGGGCAGAUGGGUGGGCCACCUGUGAGUGGGGAGCCCUGUGGAUGUGUGUGUGUGUUCGCGUGCGCGCGCCAGCAAGUGCUAACUGGACAGCAGUUCACUCAGUGACAGGGUUUGCUCACAAUAGUCCCCCAGCAACCCCAACUACCAGGGAUCAAGGAAGCCCAAGUGUCUCCAUUUACCACAGAGAAAAGAGGGUCGGCUAUAAUCUGAAGGUUUAUGUACCCUCAGAAUUCAAGCAUUGAAAUCCCAGCCCCUAAGGUGAUGGGAUUAGGAGGUGUGGCCUUUGGGAGGUGAUUAUCCAUGAGGGUGGAUUCCUUAUAAUGGGAUUAGUGCCCUUAGAAAAAGGCCCAAGAGAGCCUCUUCACAGCUGGAGGGCACCGUCUGUGACUCGAAAGCCCUCACAGGAGGCUGAAUCCAGCAGCACUUUUAUCUUGGACCUCCCCACAUCCGGAACUGUCAGAAACACGUUUCUGUUGUUUAUAAGCCCCCCAGUCUAUGGUAUUUUGUGACAGCAGCCCAGACGGGCUAAGACAGGGUCCAGAUUCACGAGCACAAUUAUAUGCUGGCACAGAGGCAGAAUCUUAAAUCCCAGACCUAAAUUCCCCAAGAGCCAGAAUUCAAAAGAGUCCUCUCUAAUUGCCUUUGAUGAGAAUUCAAUUUAGGAAGGAUUCUAUUAAUAGUUUAAACUAACCAGUAGGAGCUUCCCAUAUCUUCUCCGCAGAACCAAAAUUCUCUCUAAACAGCUGAACCUUCUGCAAGCUGAAGAUUCCUCAUCAGUUUAAUAAGAGGUUUGGAAAAGAGAUUUGGAAACGAGUGGAUGGGAGGGGGCUUUCUGUUUCUUUCCUGGUAGACGUGUCCCCAAACUGGCCCCUUCUUAGGCCCAAAGAGGCAUUUAUUUGGUAUAAUUGGUGACUGAUUCCUUUCUAACAUCUUGGAUUAGGACUUGAAAUAAUCUAGUCACAGUCCCCUGCCCAGGAGUCACGCGUGUUCUCAGGACAGACUGAAGGUGGGGUGCGGGUGACGGAGGAAGCGAAAGAGGCCCCUCUACUUGCCCCUCAGUGUUUCUAUGCUCCAUGGCAUUCCUUUUCUGACAAAGACAAGCCUGAGCUCUGGGUGCCUGCCCUGAAGGGGAUGUACCCAGGAGGCGGGUAUAGAAGAUUCGGAAUUGAAAAUAUCGGGAAGGAGAAAAGGGAAUGGAGAGAACAGGGACGUUGAGGGAGAUGGAUCAAAGGGCCAUUUGUUGAGAACGUGCCUUCUCUCCCCUAGAGUCCUGGGUGCCCCAUUUGAUGAAAGCUGUCUCUCCUCCUCUCUCCUUUCUCUCGCCUCAGAGGAGGUACUUUGGGGCAACCUUCUGCUGAGGAGAAAGGGCUCAUACUGACGUGUAUUCCUUUCAAGUAGUUGUUCCUCCCUUUCCUUCCAAAAUGACACAUUUUGAAAGUGGAACAGGUCCAAGCAUGCAGAGAAGAGUGGAGAAUAACGUCGUGAGAUACACUCACCACGCUGUUUGCCACAUAUGUUUUGAAAAAUGUUUAAAUCAAACCCUCUGGAUACAGUCGCUUUUGACAUGCCCUCCCUCCCUCCUGGCUCUCCCUGCUCUUCCCUGCACCAGCCACAGCCUCACCCCAUCCCCACCUGCCACGCACGAUCCGGGAGAGUCUGGAAUGAGUAUGCUUGUAUUCGAUGCUGUAUUCCUCCUAAUUGAGCAGUGAGAAAUACUCCUAAUGGGGCAAGAAGAAACCUCUGCUGGAUGUCCAUGGGGCUUGGUCUGAAGCCAGUUUGCCCCAAGGAUUUAUUUGCAGAAUUUCUAGCAAAGGCAUUAGGGGGAAAAAUGUUACAUUGAGAAAAUACAACCCAGGACUUUUCUGCCUCUCCCCACCUCCAGACCCUCAUUUUCAGCACUGAGUUUUCUCUCCACCUUCUUCUCGUCUUAGCUUCUUUGGGGUUUCCCCUACCUGGCCCUUCUCUGAACCUCCAAUUGCCAGCCUGCAUUUAGGCUCCGGGAGUGGGUAGCUCUGCUCUGUGCAUGGCUUUUCCUACCUGGUGGAAGGUGUGUGUCCGUCGGAGAGGCAGCUGGUGCCUGGAGACGUCACCACCCACUUACCUUCUCAAUUUCCCUUUAACACCUCUUCUCUCAGUGCCAGCUGAUUCUAACUUCCAGGUGCAGAAAGCAUUUGGUGCAGCCAGAGGCCACCCUCUGCUCACAAUGGAUGCCCCUCAGCUGCCAGAAUUUUCCACUCCACGAUGAUUUGCCCCUCCCCCACCAUGCAUAAAGGAAAAGCCACACACACGUGUGUUAUUAAAAUGAACUGUUUAUAUUAUCUCCGUUGAGUCAAUACAUUAUAAUGUAUUAAAAUGGAAAGGUACAAAAUUGAAAUAAAUACUUUCUGAUUCAUGUAUAAAUCUUUUUUUUUUUUUUUUGUCAAGAUGACUUUUAUCAUCAGUACAUGUCACAAGAAAACAUUUAAAAUGACACUGAAACAAUCAUUGAAAUCAUGGUGCAUGGAGGAAAAAGGUAAAGAAAACAACUUUUGGCUUGUUUUGGCAUGAGACCUUGAUACAAUUUGGGUUCCCCAAAACCAUGUGAAGGGUGGUAAAAUAGAAAUGCUCAAAACUGACUUAAAAAAAUAAACAGGCUUUACAAAAACCCUCUUUUUUCUUAACCCAGCCACUUCUCGACAUGGUCUGCACAUACAGUAGAUACAUUCAUUAUUGUCCAAGGGAAGACAGUAACUGCCUUUCAUUUUAAAGAGCUUGGUGGAGAGGCUGAAGAAAUGUGCUGCAGCUGAAGGU